CAUUUGUCAAUAACUAUUUAUAUUGCAUUAAUGUAUCCAUGACAACUGUUCAAGUUCAUGUGAAUGACCAUCAAAGGGAAUUAAAAGAUCAUAUCGUGGUGACUAUAUGCAGGAGAACACGAGUUUACUUUAGAAAAAGAUUUGGCAUGCUGCCCUACAUUCAGCAAUUUAAAGACUUUCUAUCUCAUUAAUUGGUGUUUGGCUGGUGAUCUCCGUGCACUUCUUUUCUUUCUACGAUGCACACCAAAUUUAGAGAAACUCACUCUUCAACUUUGUCAGAAAGAUAAAUGUGUACUGAAAAUGGAAGACAGCAAUCCAAUUGAACAAUCAUUUUCUCUCGGGCAACUUAGGAGAGUCGAAGUUAAAUGUGAACAGAUUGAUGAAAGGGUUCGGAGAACUUUGAAGAUCUUGAGUUCAAUUGGAACUUGUCUUGAGGAAUUUAACAUCCAGAAGAUCUAGAAUACAGAGUUUCAGUGUAAGUUAGCAACACUUCUCAGUGUUAUAGCUCAGCAAUUCACCAAUAACUGACUCACGAAAUGAACUACUAAAUUAAUCAAAUAUUUUUUAUUGCAUACAAUAAAUUUU